GACGAACGCUGGCGGCGUGCUUAACACAUGCAAGUCGAACGAAGAGCGAUGGAAGCUUGCUUCUAUCAAUCUUAGUGGCGAACGGGUGAGUAACGCGUAAUCAACCUGCCCUUCAGAGGGGGACAACAGUUGGAAACGACUGCUAAUACCGCAUACGAUCUAAUCUCGGCAUCGAGGAUGGAUGAAAGGUGGCCUCUAUUUAUAAGCUAUCACUGAAGGAGGGGAUUGCGUCUGAUUAGCUAGUUGGAGGGGUAACGGCCCACCAAGGCGAUGAUCAGUAGCCGGUCUGAGAGGAUGAACGGCCACAUUGGGACUGAGACACGGCCCAGACUCCUACGGGAGGCAGCAGUGGGGAAUCUUCCGCAAUGGACGAAAGUCUGACGGAGCAACGCCGCGUGAGUGAUGACGGCCUUCGGGUUGUAAAGCUCUGUUAAUCGGGACGAAAGGCCUUCUUGCGAAUAGUUAGAAGGAUUGACG
rnacentral:rRNA from 1 species